rfam:Schistosoma curassoni strain Dakar, Senegal genome assembly, scaffold: SCTD_scaffold0000188
AGUUUUCUGCAUCUGUGCUAAGACCUUGCCAGACACCAGGCCAUCAGGACUGACAGGACUUCGCGGAUAAGCGAAGUG